CUACGGGAGGCAGCAGUAAGGAAUAUUGGACAAUGGCCGCAAGGCUGAUCCAGCCAUGCCGCGUGCAGGAUGACAGAGCUAUGCUCCGUAAACUGCUUUUACUUGGGAAAAAACCCCUGCAUUCUUGCGGGGCUGAUUGUACCGAGAGAAUAAGGGACGGCUAACUUCGUGCCAGCAGCCGCGGUAAUACGAAGGUCCCAAGCGUUAUCCGGAUUUAUUGGGUUUAAAGGGUGCGUAGGCGGCUUAUUAAGUCAGUGGUGAAAGCCCCAAGCUUAACUUGGGAAUUGCCAUUGAUACUGAUGAGCUUGAGUACAUUUGAAGUGGGCGGAAUGUGUCGUGUAGCGGUGAAAUGCUUAGAUAUGACACAGAACACCGAUUGCGUAGGCAGCUCACUAAACUGUAACUGACGCUGAGGCACGAAAGCAUGGGGAUCAAACAGGAUUAGAUACCCCGGUAGG
rnacentral:rRNA from 1 species